UUUUUAAUAUAUUUUUGCUCCACGCGAGAAACAUGACGCGCGUGCGCGGUAUUUAUUAAACAAUGUAUCUUAUUUUUGACGUUUGCGGUAAGUAAUAGCUUGCGGCGCACUACUCACGCGUCUAGGGGCGGCGUUGCGGUGGCAAUGGUACCGCGUUGUGAAAGGGGGAUCCCAUCAGAACUUCGAAGUUAAGCGUGCUUGGGUGAGAGUAGUACUAGGAUGGGUGACCUCUUGGGAAGUUCUCGUGUUGCAUUCCC
rnacentral:rRNA from 1 species